GGUUGUAUGGUCUAGUGGUUAGGACAUGACGUUGUGGUUUCCCUGGGUUUCCCCCUUCAAUUCCAGCUCCGUCAUAACCCGUGUUCGAUUCACGGUACAACCA